rnacentral:rRNA from 1 species
UGGGAAUAUUGCACAAUGGGGAAACCCUGAUGCAGCGACGCCGCGUGAGUGAAGAAGUAUUUCGGUAUGUAAAGCUCUGUCAGCAGGGAAGAAAAUGACGGUACCUGACCAAGAAGCCCCGGCUAACUACGUGCC